AGUUCAGUCCCUCCGUCCGCAAAUACUUGUCAUCAAAAAUGAAUAAGAAGGAAUGUAUCUAGACAUAUAUUAAUUUUAGAUACAUCUCUUUUUAUCUAUUUUAAUGAAAAGUAUUUUGAAACGGAAGGAGUAAUAG
rfam:Triticum aestivum genome assembly, contig: Triticum_aestivum_CS42_TGACv1_scaffold_212079_3AS